rnacentral:rRNA from 1 species
AACGAACGCUGGCGGCGUGCUUAUCACAUGCAAGUCGAACGUGAUUCAGCCUUCGGGCUGAUGAAAGUGGCGCACGGGUGAGUAACACGUGGAUAAUCUACCCGAUGAUCCGGGAUAACACUUCGAAAGGGGUGCUAAUACCGGGUAAGCCACGGACUUUUUGGAGUUUGCGGGAAAAGGUGGGACCUUCGGCCUACUGUCAACGGAUGAGUCCGCGGCCCAUUAGCUAGUUGGUGGGGUAACGGCCUACCAAGGCGACGAUGGGUAGCUGGUCUGAGAGGAUGAUCAGCCACACUGGAACUGAGACACGGUCCAGACUCCUACGGGAGGCAGCAGUGGGGAAUUUUGGCGCAAUGGGCGAAAGCCUGACGCAGCAACGCCGCGUGAGUGAUGAAGGCCUUCGGGUCGU